rnacentral:misc_RNA from 1 species
UUUCCGUAGGUGAACCUGCGGAAGGAUCAUUAUCGAGUUUUGACUGGGUUGUAGCUGGCCUUCCGAGGCAUGUGCACGCCCUGCUCAUCCACUCUACACCUGUGCACUUACUGUGGGUAUCAGAUCGUGAAGCGUGCUCGUUCACCGGAGCUUGUGACGCGUGUCUGUGCCUGCGUUUAUCACAAACACUAUAAAGUAUCAAAAUGUGUAUUACGGUGUAACGCAUCUCUAUACAACUUUCAGCAACGGAUCUCUUGGCUCUC